rnacentral:piRNA from 1 species
UCAUCAGCUUAGCCCCAAC